UAUGGAAUUUUUGCUGUAACCGCCUGGACGAAGAUGACAGGGCUAACCGGCUAACAAAGAUGCAUUCAAGUUGAAGAUUCAGAGUUGCAAGGCAGGCACAGUUAACAAGGAUAAGAAAUUGUAGAAGAUUUAUCAAAUCAGACAUGGGCUUGGUUAUGCACUGAAUCAUUGUGGGGGAUCUGAGUUUUGCUUUGUGGUGAAAGGAGGAUAGAGAUACUCAACAGGGGCCGCCCUCUUCCUCGU